GACCUGGUGGUGAAAUGAAUCACACCUACUCUGCCUAAGCGCAGCUGGUUUAAGGUGUUGGUGGGAGUCCCUGGUUCGAGUCCGGGCCAGGUCA